AACGUAGGAGGCGAGCGUUAUCCGGAUUUACUGGGCGUAAAGCGCGUGCAGGCGGCUUGGCAAGUUGGGCGUGAAAUCUCCUGGCUUAACUGGGAGGGGUCGUCCAAUACUGCUGGGCUUGAGUGCAGGAGAGGGAAGCGGAAUUCCCGGUGUAGCGGUAAUAUGCGCAGAUAUCGGGAGGAACACCAGUGGCGAAGGCGGCUUCCUGGCCUGUUACUGACGCUAAGACGCGAAAGCUAGGGGAG
rnacentral:rRNA from 1 species